GACGAAGGGCGCAAGCGUUGUCCGGAUUUAUUGGGCGUAAAGAGCUCGUAGGCGGCCUGUCGCGUCGACCGUGAAAACCCGCAGCUCAACUGCGGGCUUGCGGUCGAUACGGGCAGGCUGGAGUUCGGUAGGGGAGACUGGAAUUCCUGGUGUAGCGGUGAAAUGCGCAGAUAUCAGGAGGAACACCGGUGGCGAAGGCGGGUCUCUGGGCCGAUACUGACGCUGAGGAGCGAAAGCGUGGGGAGCGAACAGG
rnacentral:rRNA from 1 species